rnacentral:rRNA from 1 species
GAAAGGCUCAUUAAAUCAGUUAUGGUUCCUUAGAUCGUACCCACAAUUACUUGGAUAACUGUGGUAAUUCUAGAGCUAAUACAUGCAAAUAGAGCUCCGACCGGAGACGGAAGGAGUGCUUUUAUUAGAUCAAAACCAAUCGGUGGCGGGCUCGUCAUCGUACAACUUGGUGACUCUGAAUAACUUUACGCUGAUCGCACGGUCAUCGCACCGGCGACGCAUCUUUCAAAUGUCUGCCUUAUCAACUGUCGAUGGUAGGUUCUGCGCCUACCAUGGUUGUAACGGGUAACGGGGAAUCAGGGUUCGAUUCCGGAGAGGGAGCCUGAGAAACGGCUACCACAUCCAAGGAAGGCAGCAGGCGCGCAAAUUACCCACUCCCGGCACGGGGAGGUAGUGACGAAAAAUAACGAUACGGGACUCAUCCGAGGCCCCGUAAUCGGAAUGAGAACACUCUAAACCCUUUAACGAGGAUCAAUUGGAGGGCAAGUCUGGUGCCAGCAGCCGCGGUA